GAUGAACGCUGGCGGCGUGCCUAAUACAUGCAAGUCGAGCGAAUGGAUUAAGAGCUUGCUCUUAUGAAGUUAGCGGCGGACGGGUGAGUAACACGUGGGUAACCUGCCCAUAAGACUGGGAUAACUCCGGGAAACCGGGGCUAAUACCGGAUAACAUUUUGAACCGCAUGGUUCGAAAUUGAAAGGCGGCUUCGGCUGUCACUUAUGGAUGGACCCGCGUCGCAUUAGCUAGUUGGUGAGGUAACGGCUCACCAAGGCAACGAUGCGUAGCCGACCUGGGAGGGUGAUCGGCCACACUGGGACGGAGACACGGCCCAGAAUCCUACGGGAGGCAGCAGUAGGGAAUCUUCCGCAAUGGACGAAAGUCUGACGGAGCAACGCCGCGUGAGUGAUGAAGGCUUUCGGGUCGUAAAACUCUGUUGUUAGGGAAGAACAAGUGCUAGUUGAAUAAGCUGGCACCUUGACGGUACCUAACCAGAAAGCCACGGCUAACUACGUGCCAGCAGCCGCGGUAA
rnacentral:rRNA from 1 species